AUGAACGCUAGCGACAGGCCUAACACAUGCAAGUCGAGGGGCAGCAUGGUAUCAGCUUGCUGAUACCGAUGGCGACCGGCGCACGGGUGAGUAACGCGUAUGUAAUCUGCCUGUAACAGAGGGAUAACCCGGAGAAAUCCGGCCUAAUACCUCAUAAUACAUAUUAUUCGCAUGAGUUUUAUGUUAAAGAAAUUCGGUUACAGAUGAACAUGCGUUCCAUUAGCUGGGUUGGCGGGGUAACGGCCCACCAAGGCGACGAUGGAUAGGGGUUCUGAGAGGAAGGUCCCCCACACUGGUACUGAGACACGGACCAGACUCCUACGGGAGGCAGCAGUGAGGAAUAUUGGUCAAUGGGCGAGAGCCUGAACCAGCCAAGUCGCGUGGAGGAAGACUGCCCUAUGGGUUGUAAACUCCUUUUACCUGGGAAUAACGGGCGCUACGUGUAGCGCUGUGCAUGUACCGGGAGAAUAAGCAUCGGCUAAUUCCGUG
rnacentral:rRNA from 1 species